AUGGAUUCCCAGGGGCAUUGGAACAAUACUGCGAUGACAGGGUUCAUUUUACUGGGCUUAACAAAUGAUCCAAUUCUUCGAGUCAUCCUCUUCACGAUCAUCCUUUGUAUCUACCUGGUGACCAUAUGUGGCAAUCUUAGCACAGUCAUUCUUAUCAGAAUCUCUUCUCAGCUCCAUCAUCCUAUGUAUUUUUUGCUGAGCCACCUGGCCUUUGCUGACAUAGGCUAUUCAUCUUCUGUUACACCCAAUAUGCUUGCAAAUUUCCUGGUGGAGAGAAAUACCAUCUCCUGUCUUGGAUGUGCCAUUCAACUUGGUUCAGUUGUUUUCUUUGGGUCAACUGAGUGCUUCCUUCUGGCUGCCAUGGCAUAUGAUCGCUUCGUGGCAAUCUGCAGCCCACUGCUUUAUUCCACCAAAAUGUCCACACGAGUUUAUGUUCAGUUACUCACAGUGGCUUAUGUAGGUGGUUUUCUCAAUGCUUGCUCUUUUACUGUUUGCUCCUAUUAUUUACUUUUCUGUGGACCAAAUUGAGUCAAUCAUUUUUUCUGUGAUUUUGCUCCUUUGGUUCAACUCUCCUGUUCUGAUAUCAGUAUCCCCACAGUUGUCCCCUCAUUUACAGCUGGCUCCAUCACUGUGGUCACGGUGAUUGUCAUAGCCAUCUCCUACAUCUACAUCCUCAUCACCAUUCUGAAGAUGCGCUCCACCGAGGGCCACCACAAGGCCUUCUCCACCUGCACGUCUCACCUCACAGUGGUCACUCUGUUCUAUGGGACCAUCACAUUCAUUUAUGUGAUGCCCAAGUCCAGCUUCUCAACUGAUCAGAACAAGGUGGUGUCUGUGUUCUACACGGUGGUGAUCCCCAUGUUGAACCCCCUCAUCUACAGCCUGAGGAACAGUGAGAUUAAUGAGGCUCUGAAGAGGGAGCUUUGUUAAAAACUUAACU